ACCUGAAAUACAUAAACGAGCGUGAUGUAAUAUUUUUAUCAUUGAAACAUAUCACGAACGGCGACUUCACCUAGUUUCCAAGCAAACAAAUCUUACACAAGAUGCAUUUUCAAUUUCGCGAUACGAUUUACAUCUCGAAGGCGCUUGGAAUACAAUCGAAGUUCAUAAGUAGCGAGUUGACAAACGAUUUACAUCUCCAAGCUACUUCCGAUGAAGUUACAAACGUACAUAGAGCAUUUCAUUUCCCUUGUUAUUGUGUAAUGAUAUUAUUCGAUAUUUACUUAUAAUUCAUCUCUUCUAAAUUUGCAGUUUACCAGUUUAUAGUUCGUAGUAUCACGAGGAAACAGAAAAUAUUUAGAAAUCACGUAGUAAGUAAAAGCAAAACAAGCAGUUAUAAUACUUGGUAGAUCUUUAUUUAAUCUAUUUUGUAUUCAAUUUGAGGAAAAUUGUCGCAUGCAUGGACAGUCUAGUCAUAAACCACUACUUCCCUGCGGUAUCAAUAAAUUUAAGCAACUUUAAUGUCUUAAGAAUUUAAGUAGUUUUUGAAACGUGAAAAAUCUUAAGCAAAAGUAAAACUGAGAAAACUACUAAUCACUGUAACAAAAGAUGGAAAACAGGUCACGGUGGUAAUUCGAAAGCAGUCAUAAACUAUUUUAGGGAUAAGUAUAUGCGUCUAAUAACCAAGCGUAAAAUUUCUUCCACACUUUGUACAUCUCUGACUUACUAACCCGUGCAACUCAAUUUCUUUUUCGACUCGUUGAUCUGGAUCUAUGGUAUACUAUGUGCACGCAGACUCGUGUUUAAUUUAUUCUUCAAUUCUACCAGGCCAGGAAACAACCAUUCAACGCGCGUGAAAGUGUGUUUCUCUUCUUUCGUAGCAAUUCUACGCAAUUUUUACCGGGAGUAAAAGCGAAGUUAAACGUGACAGCGAAACAUUAAACUUCUUCGUUGCAACGUACAAAGAAAGAAUCGCUAGUGGAUCAGUGGAGCAUAUACGAAGCCGUAAAAAUUACUGGCAUCAAGCAGUCAGUACUGGUGGAAAAUAUAACCCGGUCCGUUAAUGGCACGGCAAAGAAGAUCGCGGUUAUUAUAUUUCUGUGGAAAGGUUUCCUUAGGGGCAUCGUAGCCUGAUCCAAGAAUGCCUACGUUUUUCACCCAGGUAUUAAAUAAACUGUACUAUGACGCUAUUCAAACGAGGACAAUGACUGUUUCAAAGGAUUUACGACCUUACGAACCAAAGUAGAUAAGAUGUAAAAUUUUACACCGAUUUCUACUUAUUUCAGUGGGUAAUGUACUAUUCUUUUGAUGAAAUAUAAAGGCCACGUUCUUUGUGAACGCCCAAUUACUGCGAACGUAAGGAAAAUUUUACAGAUUCGACAUUCCAUUUUAAUUACUUCUUCGCUAAUAAGAUACGUGCGAAGCAUUCUUCGAUAUCAACACGUCAUAAGUAUGUGUUGUAUCGUCGAUGGAAGAGAUAUGUAUAAUGCUUAUGAUGAAAUCAUCAAAGUUUGCUUGUAUGAUUCAACAACCGAAAUAGUCAUCGGUGACAUAUAAAGGAAUAUGUUGAGUGCAGGAUAUUUUCUAGAAUUAUAUCAUUAAAUUCAGGAUUCUUCCUUUCUUUGCAAUAUACUUGAAAAAAUCGUUUACAGUAUACAGUUUGGUAAAUUGGGAUUCUGAAAAUACAGGAUUUUCUACUUUUCACUUGAUGCAUAUAUAUUACAAAGAAAUUUCAUAUGCCAAUCAUAUAAAUGACUUCUGCAGACCGAGAUUCCAGCUACUAACUACGUACAUAUACGUGCGACUAGAUCAACGUGUGUCACCAUGUAACGUAUUAAUUUACAAUCUCGUCGUAUCUCUCCGACCAACAAUAAGUACGUCAAGACCAAGUAUUUUUCUUCUUUCUUUACGAGUUAGUGUAGUUUAAAAUUUCCUAUCGUUUAAUUAGAAGCACAAUAAUAAUGGUGCUGGAAAGUAGCAUUACUCAUAAAGAUAAUCAUUGUUGACAAAUCAAAGAUACAACGAGCAAAAAUCAUUCUACGAUUAAAGUAUCGCGACUUUCUGUUGCGUGUUGAGGCAAAUGAAAUUCAGAAUGUCACGCAACAGAGUAAAAUUUCGCUGUCGCGUACAGAUUGAUCGAAGAAAAAGGUGAAAUUCUCUUCGUCCCUUGUAAAUUAUGAAUAUGCAUUCGUGAAGUGUUUCAAGUCUCCUGCGAUUAAAUAAAUAGAAUUAUGUAUUUACGAUUUAACGAGAUUGCUCUUGAGAUAUAUUUUUCUUUACUAUAAGAAUUCUUUUUAGCAAGUGGUUGCAAACAAUCACGGUGACAGAGAGGGCUUUUACGAUUCACACGAAUGUAAUUAAUAAGACAUGUCGUUAAAUUUUUAAUUAGAAGCUGGACGGCCGUUAAUGGAAGGAAUUAUACGUUUCUCACUAUCAAUCUUCUCUUCGUACUCGUAUGUAAAGAAGUUACGUACGUUUUACAACAUUUGCUGCUGCUUGCAGUCACGGCCAGCGUAUAAUCGAUCAAAGGCGGGUAUUAAGUUUGCUUUUUAUUUUUUUAUGUGUUACGAUAACGAUUCGUGCGACAGGUUGUUACAUAUCAAAAUCGAGCGAUAAAUGUAGACGACUGUUUAUUCGCGGGAAAACGUAUCACGAAAACCACAUCUUAUCGUUUUGGAAAAUUUCUUUUCGAUUUAAGAUUGUCGAAAAGUGAACAUCCUUUUCUACCAACUAAAAUUUCUUCCUGACGUUACGCCAUCAUUUUUCAUCGAAGGAGGUUCAUCUAAAAAAUUACAAGAAAGAGAUAAGACAAAGAAUUUGUCACAAUUUUUUAAUUAAAGGAAAUAACUUCACCGAGUGCAAAAGUUUAAAUAUCCAACGCAGAAAGUUGACGAUUAUCCACAAUAUCUAUAACUUAUAUGUACAAGGAUUUUAUAAAAAUUGGAGUGUAACAAUAGUCGUUAAAUCCACAUAACCAGAAACAAAUUGUGCAAUAGUAAUUGAGAAUUCAGUAUGUACACGAUUCGGUUUGCAGGAGAGGAAAGGGAUCGAGGUAAUUAUCAAUUUCCUGCCUAUCUUUCGGAAAUUAACUCGUUCAAUCAGGGUUCGAUCACUGGAACGACUUUCGAUCGUCAUGAUGUGAAACUCUGCCUGAUUGAAGAUGAUUCCAUAGUAUGUAAAUGCAUACCAUUACGAAAAGGGAUUUCGUUCUAUAAAAGUAAAAGUGAAUACAACGAGAUUGUUAAGAAACGCGAUCACUCGAUAAAGUGAAGGAAGUCUCUCUGUGCAAAUGCGUCGGUUAAAUAGCUGAUUAUUAGUCAACGUCGGCUUUUUUGGAAUCGAAGAUAUCACGGAAAGCAUUUGCAUCCGCAAUCAGAAAAAUAUGAAACCAAUGCAGUCUUUGGUGAGUAUCAUAUCACGAAGUUCUAAAAAUACAUAUAAAAGAACUCCUACAUUUUUCCAGCGAGCUCAUGUUUGGAUAUACAAGUGAGCAGUUCAACUUGCAUACCUCUUCUUCUUUAUUUUAAUCCAGAACAUGAUCGAUGAAUUAUCGGUUCCUUAAAAAUUUCGAUAUGAACCAUAAUUUACAGAUACGGUAGUUGGAUUAUUCCACUCUUUGUCUGUGUAAUUCCAAAGACAUUUGUAUUAAUAAAACGACGCUUUAAGUAUGAUUUGCUUUAAUUUCAGAUAAGCUCUCAACAACAAUGUGUAGCGUUCGUUGCAAUGUUCUGAUAAAUGUGAUGCAAACAUACUUAAGCCAUUUAUCCAGUGAGGUCAUAGCCAAGAGCAGAACAAGACAUUAUGCAAUACUAAAAAUGAUAGAACAAUGCUAACAAUUGCACUAUCUGCAUCCUUUUCCAAAUUAUAUCAUCUCGAUCCGAUUUAUCUGCUUUACCUCUUCUCACGACAAUUUUGUCCAAAAUUUCAAUGAGAUUUAUUCAGAAUGAAAUUUUAAUUUUACAUGUACUUUGAUUUGUAAAUAUCUAACAAGGUGAGAUACUUCUCCGGAUAAAUGUUACAGUAAUUUUAAAUCAUUGAUUAUAGCGACACAAAUGUAUAUGAUGUAUAAGCAAUUAUUUUAUCGUGGAAGAUUAUUUUUAAAACGCAUACUACUUUGAAGGAACUGGUUAAAGUUAAUACAGCUUGCACAAAGAAAUUGAAGUAAAUUACUAAACUUUUUUUCUUGUAUUUCCAUUUUUGUGAAUGAGAACAUAUUUUAUGUUCAGGAGGUUACAAUAUAAGGUUACUAAAACUUA